rnacentral:rRNA from 1 species
UACGCGCGGCCCCCCCGUUCUUCUUCUUUCCUUUUCUUCCCUCUUUCUUCUUCUUCUUUUCCCUUGGGGUGUGAAAGCCCUCGGCUCAACCGAGGAAUUGCGCUCCAAACUACCGAGCUUGAGUAGGCUAGAGGUGAGCAGAACUGAUGGUGGAGCGGUGAAAUGCGUUGAUAUCAUCAGGAAUACCGGAGGCGAAGGCGGCUCACUGGGACCUAACUGACGCUGAGGAACGAAAGCUAGGGGAGCAAACGGGAUUAGAUACCCCGGUAGUCCUAGCCGUAAACGGUGAGCACUGGACCGGGGGCCUGCACAGGCCCUCGGUCGUAGCGAAAGUGUUAAGUGCUCCGCCUGGGGAGUAUGGUCGCAAGGCUGAA